rnacentral:rRNA from 1 species
GAUGAACGCUGGCGGCGUGCUUAACACAUGCAAGUCGAACGGGAUCCAUCAAGCUUGCUUGGUGGUGAGAGUGGCGAACGGGUGAGUAAUGCGUGACCGACCUGCCCCAUACACCGGAAUAGCUCCUGGAAACGGGUGGUAAUGCCGGAUGCUCCAGUUGAUCGCAUGGUCUUCUGGGAAAGCUUUCGCGGUAUGGGAUGGGGUCGCGUCCUAUCAGCUUGACGGCGGGGUAACGGCCCACCGUGGCUUCGACGGGUAGCCGGCCUGAGAGGGCGACCGGCCACAUUGGGACUGAGAUACGGCCCAGACUCCUACGGGAGGCAGCAGUGGGGAAUAUUGCACAAUGGGCGCAAGCCUGAUGCAGCGACGCCGCGUGAGGGAUGGAGGCCUUCGGGUUGUAAACCUCUUUUAUCGGGGAGCAAGCGAGAGUGAGUUUACCCGUUGAAUAAGCACCG